rnacentral:rRNA from 1 species
UCCGGGGGGGGCAAGCGUUGUUCGGAAUUACUGGGCGUAAAGGGCGCGUAGGCGGCCUUCUAAGUCGGACGUGAAAUCCCUCGGCUUAACCGAGGAACUGCGUCCGAUACUGAAAGGCUUGAAUCCGGGAGAGGGAUGUGGAAUUCCAGGUGUAGCGGUGAAAUGCGUAGAUAUCUGGAGGAACACCGAUGGCGAAGGCAGGUCUCUGGGCCACUACUGACGCUGAGAAGAGAAAGCAUGGGGAGCGAACAGG